AUGUAGCAACGCCGCCUGAGGGACGAAGGCCUCCGUGUUGUAAACCUCUUUUUUGGGCGAAGAGCGAGGCCGGUACCUCAGCAAUAAGUCUCGGCUAACUACGUUACAGCAGCCGCGGCAACACGCAGGAGGCGAGCGUUAUCCGGAUUUACUAGGCGUAAAGCGCAUGCAGGGGGUUUCGUGAGUCGGGUGGGAAAGCUCCUAGUUUAACUGGGAG
rnacentral:rRNA from 1 species